UACGGAGGGGCUAGCGUUGUUCGGAAUUACUGGGCGUAAAGCGCGCGUAGGCGGACCUACAAGUCGGGGGUGAAAGCCCGAGGCUCAACCUCGGAACUGCCUUCGAUACUGCGGGUCUCGAGUCCGGGAGAGGUGAGUGGAAUUCCUAGUGUAGAAGGUGAAAUUCGUAGAUAUCAGGAGGAACACCGGCGGUGUAGACGGCUCUCUGGACCGUAACUGACGCUGAGAUACGAAAGCGUGGGUAGCAAACAGG
rnacentral:rRNA from 1 species